rnacentral:rRNA from 1 species
GACGAACGCUGGCGGCGUGCUUAACACAUGCAAGUCGAACGGAGCGAAUGAAAGCUUGCUUUUAUGAGCUUAGUGGCAAACGGGUGAGUAACACGUAGACAACCUGCCGAUCAGAUGGGGACAACAUUCCGAAAGGAAUGCUAAUACCGAAUGGCGUGUAGGGGAGGCAUCUUCCCUACAUGAAAGAUGGCCUCUAUAUAUAAGCUAUCACUGAUCGAUGGGUCUGCGUCUGAUUAGCUAGUAGGUAAGGUAACGGCUUACCUAGGCGACGAUCAGUAGCCGGUCUGAGAGGAUGAACGGCCACAUUGGGACUGAGACACGGCCCAGACUCCUACGGGAGGCAGCAGUGGGGAAUCUUCCGCAAUGGGCGCAAGCCUGACGGAGCAACGCUGCGUGAGUGAAGAAGGUCUUCGGAUCGUAAAGCUCUGUUGAAGGGGACGAACGAUCGAGGGGCGAACA